rnacentral:ribozyme from 13 species
ACCUGUUACUCUACUUUCGGUGAAUGAAUAUAAGUAAUCCUUAUAUGGAAAAUAGAAUAAUGAAAAAAAUCUAUAUGAAUAGUACGGGUUAUGAUUGUUUGUUUUGCGUUUUUUCUUUGGUGUCCGCCUUUUUC